CCUUGAAAUACCACCCUUUAAUGUUUGAUGUUCUAACGUGGACCCGUAAUCCGGGUUGCGGACAGUGUCUGGUGGGUAGUUUGACUGGGGCGGUCUCCUCCUAAAGAGUAACGGAGGAGCACGAAGGUUGGCUAAUCCUGGUCGGACAUCAGGAGGUUAGUGCAAUGGCAUAAGCCAGCUUGACUGCGAGCGUGACGGCGCGAGCAGGUGCGAAAGCAGGUCAUAGUGAUCCGGUGGUUCUGAAUGGAAGGGCCAUCGCUCAACGGAUAAAAGGUACUCCGGGGAUAACAGGCUGAUACCGCCCAAGAGUCCAUAUCGACGGCGGUGUUUGGCACCUCGAUGUCGGCUCAUCACAUCCUGGGGCUGAAGUAGGUCCCAAGGGUAUGGCUGUUCGCCAUUUAAAGUGGUACGCGAGCUGGGUUUAGAACGUCGUGAGACAGUUCGGUCCCUAUCUGCCGUGGGCGCUGGAGAAUUGAGGGGGGCUGCUCCUAGUACGAGAGGACCGGAGUGGACGCAUCACUGGUGUUCGGGUUGUCAUGCCAAUGGCACUGCCCGGUAGCUAAAUGCGGAAGAGAUAAGUGCUGAAAGCAUCUAAGCACGAAACUUGCCCCGAGAUGAGUUCUCCCUGACUCCUUGAGAGUCCUGAAGGAACGUUGAAGACGACGACGUUGAUAGGCCGGGUGUGUAAGCGCAGCGAUGCGUUGAGCUAACCGGUACUAAUGAACCGUGAGGCUUAACCUUACAACGCCGAAG
rnacentral:rRNA from 1 species